GCCAUCCCGCGUGACUGGCGAAUGAGGUGGGCGACCACCGGGGAGCGCGGCGACCAUAUCCUGCCGCUCGCCUGGGCAUCUCUC
rnacentral:ncRNA from 2 species